ensembl:rRNA 5_8S_rRNA 5.8S ribosomal RNA
AACUCUUAGUGGUGGAUCACUCGGCUCCUGCAUUGGUGAAGAAUGCAGCUAGCUGCGAGAAUUAAUGUGAAUUGGAGGACAUUGAUCAUCAACACUUGGAACACACUUGCCGCCCAGGGUUCCUCCAGGGUCUAAUCCUGUCUGAUCAUCA